rnacentral:rRNA from 1 species
ACGACUACAUAUCAGGCAUAUCAAUAAGCGGAGGAAAAGAAACUAACUAGGAUUCCCUCAGUAACGGCGAGUGAAGCGGGAAGAGCUCAAAUUUGAAAUCUUCAAGGGUUUACCUUUACGAAUUGUAGUUUAAAGAAGUGUUUUCUGUUGGAGUUUCGGUAAAAGCUCUUUGGAAUAGGACAUCAUAGAGGGUGAGAAUCCCGUAUUUGACCAUUUACUUCCAGCUGUGUGAUACACUUUCAAAGAGUCGGAUUGUUUGGGAAUGCAGUCCAAAAUGGGUGGUAAAUUUCAUCUAAAGCUAAAUAUUGGCGAGAGACCGAUAGCGAACAAGUACCGUGAGGGAAAGAUGAAAAGAACUUUGAAAAGAGAGUUAAACAGUACGUGAAAUUGUCAAAAGGGAAGCGUUUGACACCAGUGUUGUUUUCUCGAAAAUCAAUUAAAAAUGACCGGAUUUUGUGUUGUAUUGACUUUAUCAGCUUUCUGCACUUUUUUCUUGUCUUUUUUAAUGCACUUUUCGUUUAACAAGUCAACAUCAAUUUCUUUUGUUGUAAAAGGGUCAUUGGAAGGUGGCUUUCACUUCGGUGAAAGUGUUUAUAGCCUUUGACUUCUGCAAUCGGAGAGAUUGAGGUCUGCAGCGUAGAUCCUUCGGGGUUAGAUACAUUUGUGCUAAGUUAUAGUUUUUCAUAGACAACAAGUUGACUAUGAUUAAUCAUGUAGCUUACUCGCUUAUGCUAUUUUACCUACGCUUAGGAUGUUGAUCUCUCACAGUCGAGC